CCUACGGGGGGCAGCAGUCGAGAAUCAUUCACAAUGGGGGAAACCCUGAUGGUGCGACGCCGCGUGGGGGAAUGAAGGUCUUCGGAUGGUAAACCCCUGUCAUGUAGGAGCAAAUUAAAAAGAUAGUACCACAAGAGGAAGAGACGGCUAACUCUGUGCCAGCAGCCGCGGUAAUACAGAGGUCUCAAGCGUUGUUCGAAUUGACUGGGCGUAAAGCGUGCGGAGGCUGUUUCGUAAGUCGUGUGUGAAAGGCGCGGGCUCAACCCGCGGACGGUACAGGAUACUGCGGGACUAGAGUAAUGGAGGGGGUACCGGAAUUCGCGGUGUAGCAGUGAAAUGCGUAGAUAUCGAGAGGAACACUCGUGGCGAAGGCGGGUUCCUGGACAUUAACUGACGCUGAGGCACGAAGGCCAGGGGAGCGAAAGGGAUUAGAUACCCUAGUAGUC
rnacentral:rRNA from 1 species